rnacentral:rRNA from 1 species
UACAGAGGUCCCAAGCGUUGUUCGGAUUUACUGGGCGUAAAGGGUGCGUAGGUGGUAGGGUAAGUUUGGUGUGAAAGCUUCGAGCUCAACUCGAAAAUUGCAUUGAAUACUAUCCUACUUGAGGGUCGGAAGGGAGACUGGAAUUCUCGGUGUAGCAGUGAAAUGCGUAGAUAUCGAGAGGAACACCGGUGGCGAAGGCGAGUCUCUGGACGAUUCCUGACACUGAGGCACGAAAGCUAGGGGAUCAAACAGGAUUAGAUACCCUGGUAGUCCUAGCUGUAAACGGUGCACAUUUGCUGUAGGCGGAAUCGACCCCGUCUGUGGCGAAGCUAACGCAUUAAAUGUGCCGCCUGGGGAGUACGGUCGCAAGAUUA